AAGUUAGCAAUACUUAGCGGCAGACGGGUGAGUAACGCGCUAGGAAUCUACCUUAAAGUGGGGGAUAGCCGUCCGAAAGGGCGGGUAAUACCGCAUGUGAUCGCAAGAUCAAAGCAGCAAUGCGCUUUAAGAGGAGCCUGCGUCCUAUCAGCUAGUUGGUGGGGUAAUAGCCUACCAAGGCGAUGACGGGUAGCCGAUGUGAGAGCAUGAUCGGCCACAAGGUUACUGAGACACGGAACCUACACCUACGGGUGGCAGCAACUGGGAAUCUUGCGCAAUGGACGAAAGUCUGACGCAGCGACACCGCGUGCGGGAUGAAGCUCUUAGGAGUGUAAACCGCUGUGGCGAGGGAUGAAAUUUUGACCGUACCUCGCUAGAAAGCACAUGCUAACCACGUGCCAGAAGCCUCGGUAAUACGUGGGGUGCAAGCGUUAUCCGGAUUUACUGGGCGUAAAGCGUACCGUCGGCGACUUAAUAAGUCUUUUGUCCAAGCCUGGGGCUCAACUCCAGAAAGGCAGGAGAAACUAUUAAGAUUGAGUCUGUUCGGGGGACUUGGAAUUCUCGGUGGAGGGGUGAAAUCCGUAGAUAUCGAGAGGAACGCCAAGCGCGAAGGCAGGGUCCUAGGACACGACUGACGCUCAGGGACGAAAGCCAGGGGAGCAAAAGGGAUUAGAGACCCCUGUAGUCCUAGCCGUAAACAUUGGAUACUAGCUGCCUCUUUUCGGAGGGGUGGCGUAAGCUAACGCGUUAAGUAUCCCGCCUGGGGAGUACGACCGCAAGGUUAAAACUCAAAGGAAUUGACGGGGGAGCGCACAACCGGUGGAGCAUGUUGUUUAAUUCGAUACGAAGCGAAAAACCUUACCCAGAUUUGACAUGUACCUGCACGGUUAUGGAAACAUA
rnacentral:rRNA from 1 species